rnacentral:rRNA from 1 species
GACGAACGCUGGCGGCGUGCUUAACACAUGCAAGUCGAACGGAAAGGCCCUGCUUUUGUGGGGUGCUCGAGUGGCGAACGGGUGAGUAACACGUGAGUAACCUGCCCUUGACUUUGGGAUAACUUCAGGAAACUGGGGCUAAUACCGGAUAGGAGCUCCUGUUGCCUGGGGGGGGUGGGAAAGUUUCGGCGGUUGGGGAUGGAGUGGCGGCUUCUUAGCUUGUUGGUGGGGGAGUGGUUUACCACGGCUUUGACGGGUAGCGGGCCUGAGAGGGUGACCGGCCACAUUGGGACUGAGAUACGGCCCAGACUCCUACGGGAGGCAGCAGUGGGGAAUAUUGCACAAUGGGCGGAAGCCUGAUGCAGCAACGCCGCGUGCGGGAUGACGGCCUUCGGGUUGUAAACCGCUUUCGCCUGUGACGAAGCGUGAGUGACGGUAAUGGGUAAAGAAGCACCGGCUAACUACGUG